UACGUAGGAGACGAGCGUUGUCCGGAGUUACUGGGCGUAAAGGGUGCGCAGGUGGCGGCGCGCGUGGGGGGGUGAAAUCGCCCGGCUUAACUGGGCGGGGGCCUUCCAGACGGCGUGGCUUGAGCAGCGGAGGGGGACGUGGAAUUCCGGGUGGAGCGGUGAAAUGCGUUGAGAUCGGAAGGAACGCCCGUGGCGAAAGCGAGGUCCUGGACGCUUACUGACGCUGAGACGCGAAAGCCAGGGGGAGCGAACGGG
rnacentral:rRNA from 1 species